rnacentral:rRNA from 1 species
CAGCAGCCGCGGGAAUACAGAGGGUGCGAGCGUUAAUCGGAUUUACUGGGCGUAAAGCGUGCGUAGGCGGCUUCUUAAGUCGGAUGUGAAAUCCCUGAGCUUAACUUAGGAAUUGCAUUCGAUACUGGGAAGCUAGAGUAUGGGAGAGGAUGGUAGAAUUCCAGGUGUAGCGGUGAAAUGCGUAGAGAUCUGGAGGAAUACCGAUGGCGAAGGCAGCCAUCUGGCCUAAUACUGACGCUGAGGUACGAAAGCAUGGGGAGCAAACAGGAUUAGAGACCCCGGUAGUCCCUGUCUCUUAUAA